UUGACUUUGUCGUGCAACAAAAGACCAUUGGGGUUUUUCGAAACGGUGUGAAUACGUGCGUGUGUUUUGAAAAGAGUUUGUAAAACUUAAUUCCAAGUGCAGAAUUGCCUGUGUUGUACAAAAAACAAAGAAGAAUCAAUCAAUUGCCGGUAAACAGAAAAGCCAAUCGAGUUAUUCUCUUGAUUUUUAUGGUCUCUUUAGAAGACAACAUCCUUUGUUGAGUGUUAAAGUGUGGUGUAGAAUUAUCCUUGGUCUUAUAUUGACUGGUAGUUGCUAAAAAGAGUGCGUGCAAAUAGUGGAGAUUUACAGUUACAAGAAUCUCUUCGAAAUCCUUGAGAAAUUUCUCAAAUAUUGACUUCUAAACGGAUUUAAGACCUGCGCACUGCCUGCCCACUGAACUGAAAACAAGGUUGUGUGCGUGUGUGUGUGUGUUAUCAAACCACAAAUCUGGAGAAAAAGGACAGGACAAAAGGAUAUACCUUCAUCUCUGAAAUUUUCGGUA
rnacentral:sRNA from 1 species